rnacentral:lncRNA from 1 species
GCUCUUUGAAGCUCUCUCUGUCUCUUCAUUCAUGUGAGAUGUGACUUACAUGUCCUUUGGCACCUCCUUCUCACUUGAAAACUCGUUGAGUUCUCUCUAUCCUCUUUGUAGAGAUCCGAUCUCACAUAAUUAUUCAGAAACAAAGACAAAAUUGUCACUGUAAGUUUUUCUUUGUUCAUUCUGUUGUUCGUUUUUGGUUUUUGGAUUCCCAUCUUUCCCCAUUGCACUUUCUUUUUGGGUUUGUCAUUGUUUUCAGUUUUUAAUUGGAUGUGUUUCACCUCUUAUUUUAGUGAUCUAGGUAUAUGAUUACUGUCAUCUUUUUAUUUUAGAGAGCUGUUUAAAUACUUAGAUCUCUGUUUAGAAAUUUGUUGUUUUAAGGUUUGAAUUUUUAAUACUAUCUUAUUUUAUGGUUUUGCUUUAAUGUUGUGUUUGUAUACAAUUCUGAAAUUGAAUCUGUCGGUAAUUAAUUUCAAGUUGUGUUGUGCCUUAGGGUUCAAAGGUCAUUAUUACUAAUUAAGGAGCCUCCCGGAAUUAGAAACAUAGUGUUCUUGAGAUUCUAGUUAGAGAUUUUGGUUGAUGAAUAAAUAUAAAUCUCUUAACCAUGGCAUGGGAGUUAACUGCCUCCGUCAGGGAAAUACUAUACGUUUUUUCUCCACCUGAUUGUAGUAAUAAUUUAAAGUCCAAGACAGUGGGAUCAUCAAACUUGCCUCCAACAGGUAUGUGGAGUUCACCGGAGCACGGUCAUUCUGAUCAUGGGAGGUGGAUUUAGUCAUGAUAUAAGCCGAAUGCACAAUAACCCAACUAAGAAUAUGAGACAGAUACGAGGUCAAGCGGAGGUUCUUACACUUCCAGAUUUUAUUAGCUUUGAUAGUAAUCUUGAUUUUGUUGGAGAAUUUCAUAGACCAUCCCUGUCCAAUUAGACCCAAGAAAACCAGUUAAUCUGUUACGAAUUCAUCUUGACAUGGACAUAAGUUCAAUUCAACUUAUUACAACUACUGCGUUCCAUGGGGGAAUCAUUUGACUCAUGAGCAGCAACACCCGCUGUCAAAGCAUUGGCAUUAGCCAAUUGUUCACCUGAUGAUUCUCAUGCUGGGAUCAGAAGAGCCGUAUUCAGCUGAGUCAAAGAAAGCAGUAUCUACAGCUAAGCGAAGCUUGCUGACUUUGCUCUUGUUGAUCCAAAAUGUGCUCAGAGUUAAAAUUUCAGGAUGAAGCAAUUCAUUAUAUUCCUGUGACACCCAUUAUUUCUUCUAUUACUUGUUAGUUUUAAAUUUGAUUUUUUAUUUAUAUUUGAAAAUAUGAUGGAAAAAUAAGUUGUUUUAUGUCAUCUCAAUGGACUUUUGGACAUAAAACUUUUAUCAAAUACAAUAUAUGUCAACUAAUGAAAAGUUUGAGGAUAAAAAUGACAUGAAAAAUCGUUAAGGACAUAUAAAAUGAACAAAGGUUAAUAAAUGUUGUGCAAGAAAUAAAAAUUGUGGUGCUAUAAUUAACCUAGCAAUUAUUCAGUUCCUUAAAUUUGAUAGAAGCAAAAAAAUAAAAAAUAAAAAAUUGCUUCUGGAAGUGAACGAAUGAACAAUUCAAGAAACUAAGGGUCUCUGGAAAAAUCAUACUGUUUUGAUAUGUAACUACACUAUGUGUUCUUUAUGUAUGACACGAUGCUCAUGACACAGUCUAAAAUAAUCUUUUUACACAAAUUCAUAAUAUUAGUUAUGAAAUUUAAAGAUUUCUUUGAACCUCGCACUAGGAGACAAGUAGUCGAGUGUCACACUCUUUAAUUGUUCUGAGCUACCAAGUCUUCAAUGUCGUUCUCUUGUAACGACGGUG